rnacentral:rRNA from 1 species
GUGGGGAAUCUUCCGCAAUGGACGAAAGUCUGACGGAGCAACGCCGCGUGAGUGAAGAAGGUUUUCGGAUCGUAAAGCUCUUUCGUUAGGGACGAACGUGCUCUUUGUAAAUAAUGAGGAGUAAUGACGGUACCUAAAUAAGAAGCCACGGCUAACUACGUGCCAGCAGCCGCGGUAAUACGUAGGUGGCAAGCGUUGUCCGGAAUUAUUGGGCGUAAAGCGCGCGCAGGCGGGAUAUCAAGUCUGUCUUAAAAGUGCGAGGCUCAACCUCGUGAGGGGACAGAAACUGGUAUUCUUGAGUGUCGGAGAGGAAAGUGGAAUUCCAAGUGUAGCGGUGAAAUGCGUAGAGAUUUGGAAGAACACCAGUGGCGAAGGCGACUUUCUGGACGAUGUCUGACGCUGAGGCGCGAAAGCUAGGGGAGCGAACGGGAUUAGAAACCCCUGUAGUCC